CUUGCUACCUGACCCAGCGGCGGACGGGUGAGUAAUGCUUAGGAAUCUGCCUAUUAGUGGGGGACAACAUUCCGAAAGGAAUGCUAAUACCGCAUACGCCCUACGGGGGAAAGCAGGGGAUCUUCGGACCUUGCGCUAAUAGAUGAGCCUAAGUCAGAUUAGCUAGUUGGUGGGGUAAAGGCCUACCAAGGCGACGAUCUGUAGCGGGUCUGAGAGGAUGAUCCGCCACACUGGGACUGAGACACGGCCCAGACUCCUACGGGAGGCAGCAGUGGGGAAUAUUGGACAAUGGGCGAAAGCCUGAUCCAGCCAUGCCGCGUGUGUGAAGAAGGCCUUUUGGUUGUAAAGCACUUUAAGCGAGGAGGAGGCUACUUAGAUUAAUACUCUAGGAUAGUGGACGUUACUCGCAGAAUAAGCACCGGCUAACUCUGUGCCAGCAGCCGCGGUAAUACAGAGGGUGCGAGCGUUAAUCGGAUUUACUGGGCGUAAAGCGUGCGUAGGCGGCUUCUUAAGUCGGAUGUGAAAUCCCUGAGCUUAACUUAGGAAUUGCAUUCGAUACUGGGAAGCUAGAGUAUGGGAGAGGAUGGUAGAAUUCCAGGUGUAGCGGUGAAAUGCGUAGAGAUCUGGAGGAAUACCGAUGGCGAAGGCAGCCAUCUGGCCUAAUACUGACGCUGAGGUACGAAAGCAUGGGGAGCAAACAGGAUUAGAUACCCUGGUAGUACAUGCCGUAAACGAUGUCUACUAGCCGUUGGGGCCUUUGAGGCUUUAGUGGCGCAGCUAACGCGAUAAGUAGACCGCCUGGGGAGUACGGUCGCAAGACUAAAACUCAAAUGAAUUGACGGGGGCCCGCACAAGCGGUGGAGCAUGUGGUUUAAUUCGAUGCAACGCGAAGAACCUUACCUGGUCUUGACAUAGUAAGAACUUUCCAGAGAUGGAUUGGUGCCUUCGGGAACUUACAUACAGGUGCUGCAUGGCUGUCGUCAGCUCGUGUCGUGAGAUGUUGGGUUAAGUCCCGCAACGAGCGCAACCCUUUUCCUUAUUUGCCAGCGGGUUAAGCCGGGAACUUUAAGGAUACUGCCAGUGACAAACUGGAGGAAGGCGGGGACGACGUCAAGUCAUCAUGGCCCUUACGACCAGGGCUACACACGUGCUACAAUGGUCGGUACAAAGGGUUGCUACCUAGCGAUAGGAUGCUAAUCUCAAAAAGCCGAUCGUAGUCCGGAUUGGAGUCUGCAACUC
rnacentral:rRNA from 1 species